UGGGGAAUUUUGCACAAUGGGGGAAACCCUGAUGCAGCGACGCCGCGUGAUUUAGAAGGCCUUCGGGUUGUAAAAAUCUUUUCUAUGGGAAGAAAAUGACAGUACCAUAGGAAUAAGGACCGGCUAAUUACGUGCCAGCAGCCGCGGUAAUACGUAAGGUCCGAGCGUUGUCCGGAAUCAUUGGGCGUAAAGGGUACGUAGGCGGGUAAGCAAGUUAGAAGUGAAAUCCUAUAGCUCAACUAUAGUAAGCUUUUAAAACUGCUCAUCUUGAGAUAUGGAAGGGAAAGUGGAAUUCCUAGUGUAGCGGUGAAAUGCGCAGAUAUUAGGAGGAAUACCGGUGGCGAAGGCGACUUUCUGGCCAUAACCUGACGCUGAGGUACGAAAGCGUGGGUAGCAAACAGG
rnacentral:rRNA from 1 species